CGAAUCCCGCCCAGCUAGAGCUUAACGAGCAGGCUGGUAGCGAGUUUUGCGUGGUCGCCGGUAACGUCGGCUACGAAGCGUAAACAGCGAGCUGAUAGGCUGAGGGGUAAGCCCCGAAAUUCUUUUGAUUCCGAGGGCCGACAGUUUCCUUGGACUGGAAGGCAAGAGGAUAGGAGGUUUGGAUGAAACCACCAUGAAACUUGUUUGUGGGAGCCAGCGGGUG
rfam:Deltaproteobacteria bacterium CG2_30_63_29 cg2_3.0_scaffold_2777_c, whole genome shotgun sequence.